CCUACGGGUGGCAGCAGUGGGGAAUAUUGCACAAUGGGCGAAAGCCUGAUGCAGCAACGCCGCGUGAGCGAUGAAGGCCUUCGGGUCGUAAAGCUCUGUCCUCAAGGACGAAAAUAACGGUACUUGCGGAGUAAGCCGCGGCUAACUACGUGCCAGCAGCCGCGGUAAUAGGAGGGGGGCUAGCGUUAUCCGGAUGUACUGGGGGAAAGGGGUGCGGAGGUGGUUGCUUAAGUCGGAGGUAAAAGGCUACGGCUAACACGUAGUAAGCAUUUGAAAGUGGGAAGCUUGAGUGCAGGAGAGGAGAGUGGAAUUCCUAGUGUAGCGGUGAAAUGCGUAGAUAUUAGGAGGAACACCAGUUGCGAAGGCGGCUCUCUGGACUGUAACUGACACUGAGGCACGAAAGCGUGGGGAGCGAACAGGAUUAGAUACCCCGGUAGUC
rnacentral:rRNA from 1 species